CAGCCACAUCAAGUUUAAACACCGGUUCCCGUACGAUCACCGAAUUUAAGUAACUUCGAGGCUGCUCAAUACCUAGAUAGGUGGCCGCUUGUGAAUACCAGGUGUUGUAAG